AGGGCAAUCUAGGAAUUUAGUUUCAGGUACAGGUUGGGUGUGCCUGAAGACUUGAUUACGUCAGCAAGGCUACGUUUCUGACAUCCUCGUGUAUUUAUCAGAAAGGAAGAAAGAAGAAAAGAUAGAAUUGUAUCCGGGUCUUAAAGACGGAGAGGACGAAAAGGAGUGGAUGGAACACCAGCUUCAACACCAGUACGGUACAAAUUGUAGUACUGGUGAACGGUACCGUGAUUUUUAUACUAGCACGUUAAGGUUGUAGGGGGGAGUUCUCGAGCGUGGGCCAACAUUUUGUUGGUAAGAAUAGCUGCACUUCGUGUGUUGUAUUAUUUUUGUCACUCGCGCGCGUCCCUUUACGCUCCGUAUUUUUGUUGAUUAUACCACGAAGAGGCUCUCCAUAAAAAUGUAAAAUGCGCAACAAUGCUGGGUUUAGGGUUAUUCUUUUAAGUAGGGCAUAGCUCCAAACAAAACACAUUUUCUUACAGGUGGCAAAUGGUUUCAUUGCCCCAAACAAUAGGGCAUAGAAUUUCUCUCUCCUUUCUUUUUACAGGUUCUCAUUUCUCUAUAUAGUUAUAUUAGAAUUGUUGCAGGCAGAAUGUCAGUAGUGGUUAACCCAGCAGCGUUGCAUAAACACACAACUACACAAAUAAUCCAAAUUCAAACACACCAAAACACAAUU